rnacentral:lncRNA from 1 species
AUGCGGGGAGACAAACGGACAGUGGACAGAUUGCAGAGAGCUCUGUGUGCUGAGAGGAGGGUGCAGACCAGAUUUUUAAAUUGAGAAUGCAACAGUGAAGGAUUUCAAGCUUGGAGUGAGAGGGGAGACUACGAGCCUGCAGUGAUAAGGCAAAGCUGAAGAUUUCAGAGCCAAGGCCACACCCUACAGUUGCCAUGGAAUGGGGUGGCACAGUGGGCUUUGGAGGUAAAGUCUGCAGUUGAGAAGUUCAAGGGUAGUAAGUACUUAAUGCCAGGUCAAUCAUCCCUUUUAAGACACAGAUAUCAUCUGCAGCGUUUUCAGGAACAGCGAUAGAGAAGAAAAGCGGGCAGCUACUAGAUAUUCAAAUCUUCCACAAAUGUCAGGGAGAGAGUCAGGCAGUUGGUAGAAGAGACCUGUAAAGCUGGGUACCAUAAGCCUCAACACAGGUGUUUUUAUUUCAAGGCUGGGGAGCUGUGCUUUGGAAAAGCAAUGAGGAGGUAACAGGAAGUCUCUUCUCCUUCUAAAUCCUGUGUUCAUGGAGGAGGGUGGGUUUUCUCCUCUUGAGAGGGAGUUACAUACAAGUUUAAGGGAAAAGAGUCUGAAGUUUCCACCUAAAUGAUUCUGAAAGAAUCAGAUAUACAGGGAGUCCACGGAGCCUCCCCUGCAAGCAUCAGUACAGAAGUCGAUGAUAAUCUGGAUGCAAGCCCAGGAGUGUGGAGUCCACUGACUCAGAAGACCUGCAUCUAAGGAAUUGGCUGUUCUUAUCCUUAAGAAUGAUGACUGUGUUUCCAAUUCCAGUAGACCCUUUGAUGCGUUCUGAAUAAAUAUUCCUUUUGGAA